rnacentral:rRNA from 1 species
GCAUAUCAAUAAGCGGAGGAAAAGAAACCAACAGGGAUUGCCCUAGUAACGGCGAGUGAAGCGGCAACAGCUCAAAUUUGAAAUCUGGCGCAAGCCCGAGUUGUAAUUUGUAGAGGAUGCUUCUGGGCAGCGGCCGGUCUAAGUUCCUUGGAACAGGACGUCACAGAGGGUGAGAAUCCCGUAUGUGACCGGCGCGCACCCUCCACGUAGCUCCUUCGACGAGUCGAGUUGUUUGGGAAUGCAGCUCUAAAUGGGAGGUAAAUUUCUUCUAAAGCUAAAUACCGGCCAGAGACCGAUAGCGCACAAGUAGAGUGAUCGAAAGAUGAAAAGCACUUUGGAAAGAGAGUUAAAAAGCACGUGAAAUUGUUGAAAGGGAAGCGCUUGCAACCAGACUCCGCGGCGGUGUUCCGCCGGUCUUCUGACCGGUCCACUCGCCGCCGCGGGGCCAACAUCGUCUGGGGCCGCCGGACAAGACUGGAGGAAUGUAGCUCCCUCGGGAGUGUUAUAGCCUUCAGUGAUGCGGCGCGUCCCGGGCGAGGUCCGCGCUUCGGCAAGGAUGUUGGCGUAAUGGUUGCCAGCGGCCCGUCUUGAAACACGGACCAAGGAGUCUAACAUCUAUGCGAGUGUUCGGGUGUCAAACCCCUACGCGUAAUGAAAGUGAACGGAGGUGGGAGCUUCGGCGCACCAUCGACCGAUCCUGAUGUCCUCGGAUGGAUUUGAGUAAGAGCAUAGCUGUUGGGACCCGAAAGAUGGUGAACUAUGCCUGAAUAGGGUGAAGCCAGAGGAAACUCUGGUGGAGGCUCGCAGCGGUUCUGACGUGCAAAUCGAUCGUCAAAUUUGGGUAUAGGGGCGAAAGACUAAUCGAACCAUCUAGUAGCUGGUUCCUGCGA